AAAGAGAAAUAGGUGCCUCGGGGUCGGACAACCACCACUUGGCAUUUUGGCAUUGUCUCGUUAUUCGAUUCGACGUCGGAUUUCCUGUAGUUUGGUAUAAGUUUGCACCCUAAUCUUUUUCCUUUUUUUUAUUCAGAAUUUCUGUUUUGUUUUAUUUUAUUUUAUUUUAUUUAUCUCUGAGUAUAAGUUUUAGUUUUAAUUUUCUGUUUUUCAAUUAGUUUGUUAAGCCAUAAUCGUUAGUUUGAGUUUACUUUCAUUAGCAUUCUUCAAUGUUAGUCGUUGCUUAAUAUUUUCGAAUUAGGUACUUAGUCAUUUGUUUAGGUUGCUACUAAUCGUUUUCCGAUAGUGUAUAAAUAUUUAUUUAAGUUAUAUUUUAGGUAGCAUUUCUUAAUUCCAACCGUCUGUUGUUAUUUUCCAUAAAUCGAUUGGCUUUAGUUUAGUUUGUGUGAAUACCUAGUUUGGGUCCAUUUAAAGUUUCGUCUUUGUUUUGUCAAUUAUAGUUUGUUUGAGUUUGAAUUACAUAACUUGGUAUUAAUAUUUGUAAGAGCUGAAGUUUAUGUUAUUUUAUCACAAAAUAGGGUGCUAGUAGCCUACUUUUACUAGUACGGUGGCUGAAAUGACAUUUUUUCUCCUUGCUUCUGACAUAGCAGAUUUCCUUUCACCUUUUAGACAAAUUUUGAACAGUGUUUAGCACACAAUGUCAGUCCUUGUCGGGAAGACUUUUGGUGAAUCAAAAUCUGUCCAAAAAAGUAAUUUUCUUUGCCUACUUAAGGCCUGCCCUUUCCUCACUUUAGGGGGACUCAAUCAGAUAUUUGUUGGACAAAUUUUACACCCAAAAAAAAACAUUUUGAGAGUGAAAAAUCAGCAACUAAAGCACCCUUUAGUAAGCUGAAAUGGUGAGCUUUAUGAGUAAAUUUUAGAGUGCAAACUUUUAGAAAAAUAUAAGUCUUCUUUAGAGUUGAUUCUGGGUUUAUUCUCUAAGGUUUUCGAGUUGUUUUAAACACGAAACUGCUGUUGUUUUCUACUGUGCUUUUUUUCUUUGCGGAGCUCCAUUUUUCACUGCUAUAUUUAUUUUCUGCAAUUCAGGUAUUUCUCAAAUUUUGCAAUGCAGAUUUUUAUAUCCAAUGGAUGAGAAUAUGAGUCUCUUCCAGCUCAUAGGAUAUGCUCGAUGUGCUUUACUGGAAUGAAUGAAUAUUUAGCGUGUUACUUAUGUUUAAAGCAUGUACAUCUAUAAUAUUUGGUUAAUCUUCCAUUUUUCUUCACAUAUGUAGCUCAAACA
rnacentral:lncRNA from 1 species